rnacentral:rRNA from 1 species
AUUGAACGCUGGCGGCAUGCUUUACACAUGCAAGUCGAACGGCAACAGGCCGCAAGGUGCUGACGAGUGGCGAACGGGUGAGUAAUGCAUCGGAACGUGCCCAGUCGUGGGGGAUAACGCAGCGAAAGCUGUGCUAAUACCGCAUACGAUCUAUGGAUGAAAGCGGGGGACCGUAAGGCCUCGCGCCAUUGGAGCGGCCGAUGACAGAUUAGGUAGUUGGUGGGGUAAAGGCUCACCAAGCCAACGAUCUGUAGCUGGGCUGAGAGGACGACCAGCCACACUGGGACUGAGACACGGCCCAGACUCCUACGGGAGGCAGCAGUGGGGAAUUUUGGACAAUGGGCGCAAGCCUGAUCCAGCAAUGCCGCGUGCAGGAAGAAGGCCUUCGGGUUGUAAACUGCUUUUGUACGGAACGAAAAGGUUUGGGUUAAUACCCUGGGCCGAUGACGGUACCGUAAGAAUAAGCACCGGCUAACUACGUGCCAGCCGCCGCGGUAA